rnacentral:rRNA from 1 species
UACAGAGGGGGCGAGCGUUGUUCGGAAUUACUGGGCGUAAAGGGCGCGUAGGCGGCCCGCUAAGUCGAACGUGAAAUCCCCGGGCUCAACCCGGGAACUGCGUCCGAUACUGGCAGGCUUGAAUCCGGGAGAGGGAUGUGGAAUUCCCGGUGUAGAGGUGAAAUUCGUAGAUAUCGGGAGGAACACCAGUGGCGAAGGCGGCGACCUGGACAGAUAUUGACGCUGAGGUGCGAAAGCGUGGGGAGCAAACAGG